UACGUAGGGUGCGAGCGUUGUCCGGAAUUAUUGGGCGUAAAGAGCUUGUAGGUGGUUUGUCGCGUCUGCUGUGAAAAUCCGAGGCUCAACCUCGGACUUGCAGUGGGUACGGGCAGACUAGAGUGUGGUAGGGGAGACUGGAAUUCCUGGUGUAGCGGUGGAAUGCGCAGAUAUCAGGAAGAACACCUAUGGCGAAGGCAGCUCUCUGGGACGGUACUGACGCUGAGACGCGAAAGCGUGGGGAGCGAACAGG
rnacentral:rRNA from 1 species